ACGGCCCAUCAGGUAGUUGGCGGGUUAAAGGCCCGCCAAGCCGAAGACGGGUAGGGGCGGUGAGAGCCGCGAGCCCCGAGAUCGGCACUGGGACAAGGGCCGAGGCCCUACGGGGUGCAGCAGGCGCGAAUACUCCGCAAUGCGGGCAACCGCGACGGGGCUACCCCGAGUGCCGGGCGAAGAGCCCGGCUUUUGCCCGGUCUAAAAAGCCGGGAGAAUAAGCGGGGGGCAAGUCUGGUGUCAGCCGCCGCGGUAAUACCAGCUCCGCGAGUGGUCGGGGUGUUUACUGGGCUUAAAGCGCCCGUAGCCGGCCCGGCAAGUCGCUCCUGAAAUCCCCGGGCUCAACCCGGGGGCGGGGGGCGAUACUGCCGGGCUAGGGGGCGGGAGAGGCCGCCGGUACUCCGGGGGUAGGGGCGAAAUCCGUUAAUCCCCGGAGGACCACCAGUGGCGAAAGCGGGCGGCCAGAACGCGCCCGACGGUGAGGGGCGAAAGCCGGGGGAGCAAAGGGGAUUAGAUACCCCUGUAGUCCCGGCCGUAAACGAUGCGGGCUAGCUGUCGGCCGGGCUUAGGGCCCGGCCGGUGGCGAAGGGAAACCGUUAAGCCCGCCGCCUGGGGAGUACGGCCGCAAGGCUGAAACUUAAAGGAAUUGGCGGGGGGGCACCACAAGGGGUGAAGCUUGCGGCUUAAUUGGAGUCAACGCCGGG
rnacentral:rRNA from 1 species